UUUCAAAUGGGGAAUACUUAAAUAUAUGUUGACUUAAUAUAAAAAUUCAUGGAUGAAAAUGAAGAACUAAAAAAAUCAUUGUAUCAAUUCCAAUAUAAUUUUUUGAAGACAACAGCUGGAGAAGGAGGAGGAGAAUAUUCUGAAGAAUCUGAAUAACAACAGGAUAGUUGCUGACUUAAAGUUAAAUGUCACUUGAUUUUUU
rnacentral:lncRNA from 1 species